GCACUUAUGACCAGACUUGGACCCGGUGAAUCAUCCAGCGUUCUCGCUGGUGCACUUUGCCGGGCUCAGGCCAGCAUCAGUUUGCCCCGGGGGAUAAAGGCUUUGGGAACGUGGCUCCUCCGGGAGUGUUAUAGCCCGUUGCAUAAUACCCUGCGGUGGACUGAGGACCGCGCAUCUGCAAGGAUGCUGGCGUAAUGGUCACCAGCGA
rnacentral:rRNA from 1 species